rnacentral:piRNA from 1 species
UUUUCCUGGAAAGGAAGGAAGGGCUCG